UUAUGUAGUGACACAUAAUCACUAUGCGUCUUUAAAGACACAACACAAUUGUGCAUCUUUCUUAAAUGACGCAUAAUACUUAUGCAUCUUUCCCUAGCAACGCAUAAUACUUAUGCGUCUUCCGUCGGGUUUUAAAACAGGCAGAAGGCUUCGCACAGAGCAGAAGCAGCGAACAAACAUGCAGAAUUCGUCUAGGGUCGACUUCAUCCGACGAAUCCCAGCAAUUUCCAGCGAAUUUCCAUCAUUUUCAAACAUAUUCCGAUGCCCUCUGCAAGUUCUGAAGAACAGUUAUGUUAUGGACCUGAGGAUCCAUCAUUACUCUUUCAUCAAAACGAACACAUUUCAGCCUCAUUGUUGGCAAAUGGCACAACAAAUGUUUUGAGAGUUCGUAGGAUGGAAAGUAAGGUUUGAGCAGUGCCAAUACAUGAAAAUGUGAAGUAUUGGUUUGAUGUAUGGGGUUUCAAAGGUGUGUUGGAAUGUGAAAGGCCGAUGAGGAUGGACAACGAGCUUAUAACUGCCUUGAUCGAGCGCUGGAGGCCUGAGACACACUGUUUCCACCUACCAGUUGGAAAAAGUUACCGUAACCUUACAGGAUGUGCAAAGCCUGUGGGGUUUGAGAGCAGAGGGUCGUGUUUUCACUGGCCGUGACUACCCUAUCGGAUAUGAAGAUUGGCCCAGCAAGCGUCGAGAUGUGUUGGGAUGGAUACCUAACGUAGAAACUAAAACGAAGCAGGGCGAUUUGUUAAUGACAUCUCUUAUCCACCAAGCGACGAUACCUUUGGGUGAUGGGCUGCAUGAUUAUGCAUACAUCCAAAGAGCACGUAUACAUGCUCUGAUCUUGUUAGGGGGGCUUAUUAUACCGGACACCACAGGCUGCAAGGUCCCCUUUAUGUGGUUAAAUGCCUUUGACGAUCCGGAAGAAGUGUCUACUAUCAGUUGGGGUAGUGCUGCUUUAGCAUUAUUUGUGUGAGGCUUCUGUAGGCAGGCAGAAAAGAGAUGUGGGUGGACCUAUGGUUCUUUUGCAGUUGUGGGCGUGGGAAAGAAUGCCCACAUUGAGGCCAUCCUUUUUUAUAUCGCCUAUGCACACGCCGUAUACCCCGUGUGGAGCCAAGUGGCACGGAGUUACUGAAAUUGGAAAUGCUCCCCGACAUUCAGUAGCUCAUUAUUGUGAUCAAUUAUCACUGAUUCGUCCCGGCCAGGAACUCCGACAUUGAGCCAGCCAAUGGUCAAACAAAGAUGAGAGGACGAGCUGCAAGUGCCGUGAAGAGCAAGAAAGACCGCCCGAAAAUGCGACGUCAAGGCCCGCCCAUUUCAAGGACUUCACGCCUCAUUAGAGAUUACAAGGGAUAUUUUCCUUAUUUUAGUUUAUUGCUGCAGAUCUUAUUUUCCAUAUUUUGAACGAUCUUUGCUUAGUUUAGAAUUGAUAAA